UAUGCUGGAAAACGAAGGAAUGCAGGAAUUCAUCAGGCCUGUCAUACAGAAUUCCCCAGGAGCUGUCACAUCCUGGCCCAGAGAUGGGGGGCCGAGUGGCCCUGAUGAGCCAAAUAAAUCUCUGGUGUCCCUGUGGAACAUCGUUUGGAACACCAUCCAAGAUCGCAGGACAGUGUUUGGUGUGGUCUGUGAGUCUCACUGAGAGAUGCGUGCCUCCUGUCACCAGAGAGAGACUGUUUGACACUUCAACAGAGAGAGAAGGCCAACGGAAGCUAACAGAUGCCCAGGUUGUCUAGCACUGUGCUGAGGAAUAAGAGAGACGGAGGUCAUUCUACCUACCCAGAAGAUGCAAGACCAAUCUCUUCUGAUCUGUUGGACUCUUUCAGCUGUGGAAUCAUUGAGGAUUAGAACUCAAUGAUAGGGCUUAGACUGUUGCACCGCUCAGGAGCCCCUCUAUCUAUCUUUUAAUAAUUUCUUAAAGUCCAGUUUCAUAAGCUCCUGUUUCACCUGUUUCCUUUUGUAAGUGAAUUAUUUUAUACCUGAUCUCCUCUGAAAUAUCUCCUGAAAAAUAUGUACUUGCCACCUUGACUGAAAAUUAAAUAACUGAAGGUA